GAUGAACGCUGGCGGCGUGCCUAAUACAUGCAAGUCGAGCGAACAGACGAGGAGCUUGCUCCUCUGACGUUAGCGGCGGACGGGUGAGUAACACGUGGAUAACCUACCUAUAAGACUGGGAUAACUUCGGGAAACCGGAGCUAAUACCGGAUAAUAUAUUGAACCGCAUGGUUCAAUAGUGAAAGACGGUUUUGCUGUCACUUAUAGAUGGAUCCGCGCCGCAUUAGCUAGUUGGUAAGGUCACGGCUUACCAAGGCAACGAUGCGUAGCCGACCUGAGAGGGUGAUCGGCCACACUGGAACUGAGACACGGUCCAGACUCCUACGGGAGGCAGCAGUGGGGAAUCUUCCGCAAUGGGCGAAAGCCUGACGGAGCAACGCCGCGUGAGUGAUGAAGGUCUUCGGAUCGUAAAACUCUGUUAUUAGGGAAGAACAAAUGUGUAAGUAACUAUGCACGUCUUGACGGUACCUAAUCAGAAAGCCACGGCUAACUACGUG
rnacentral:rRNA from 1 species